AUUCUCUAAGGCAAGAACAUAAUUCCCUCAAGGAUUCUUCUCCAAGCUACAAGCUAGAGUUUCAGAUUUUCUUCAAGAUUUAUUUUCACUUAUAAGUGAUUUCAAUCAAGGCCUCCAACCCGUUACACAAAUACUAUGGCAACAACUAGUAAGCUCGCCGCACCAGCUAGCAUUACAAUAGCUAUAUGGCAAUGGUUCAUGUAACUGAUACAGUAAUCAUCCCGUAAGGUACUCUUACUGCAACGGUUAUUCAUCCCUCACUAACAACAAUUUCCUCAGAUAAAUGGCACAGUCAGAACCGUUGCAUUGGAUAUUUUGCAACAAUUCUAUUAUCUUUGUUGUAAUAGAUUUGAUAUCUAUAUUUGAACGGUUAUUAUUUUUUGCAACAGUUGAUUGCAGUAUGUUAUAACAAAUAUAUUGUUCUAAUGCAACCGUUUUUAUGGUU